rnacentral:rRNA from 1 species
UACGUAGGUGGCAAGCGUUGUCCGGAAUUAUUGGGCGUAAAGCGCGCGCAGGCGGUCCUUUAAGUCUGAUGUGAAAGCCCACGGCUCAACCGUGGAGGGUCAUUGGAAACUGGGGGACUUGAGUGCAGAAGAGGAAAGCGGAAUUCCACGUGUAGCGGUGAAAUGCGUAGAGAUGUGGAGGAACACCAGUGGCGAAGGCGGCUUUCUGGUCUGUAACUGACGCAGAGGCGCGAAAGCGUGGGGAGCAAACAGG